UUUUUGAAAAAUCAAAGGUCCUGACAGCUCUAAGUUCAACUAAAUGCCAUUGUAGGCGGGGGAGACGUAAGCGCAAUCCUAUAAAUCCGAAAAGGAAACUUUAUCGCAGUAACAGAAAUUGCGCUUAAAAGGGGCAGGCAAUUGGAGCAAGUCGGCUGCCAUGUGAGAGGCGAGUUGCUUUCACUACCUAGCAGAAACCCAUAUCAACAAAGCACUCUAGUCUGUUUACUUGUGCCUAUCGUCUCUGGAUUUCGUUCAGAACCAAAAAAGAAAACAAGGAAUAAUGUCAAACCUAGGCGAUGAUGAAGUAGCCUCAAUUCUCAAUUGGGUUUAUGAUACAAAAGACAGAAAAUCAUCAUCUCAAGUUUGCAAGCAAUGGCUUAGAGGCGAAGGUGAAACUCGCUUAUCCAUUCGUGUUCUUGAACCUGAUCUCCUCUACAGUUUCUUGCCCAGAUUCCCCUACUUACUCACGUUUAAAUCAUCGAAACUUAUUACCGAUGCGCACCUUGAUUUCAUUGCUCAAACAUGCCCUAAAAUCGAGUUCCUCAAUCUCAGUGUCAGAAAAUCCCGUCCAACAGUAACUUUUGAUGGGUUUGAUGAGUCGACAGAUUCUGAGGAUGUUGGAAAUGAUGGUAUUUGUGCUAUUGCAAAUGGGUGUCGGAAAUUAACGGAAGUCUUGUUAAGAAGGAGAAAGAAUGUGGGCAAUGUUGGGGUUAUCGUUCUUGUAAAUCUUGCAAAAAGUUUGACCUCUUUGGAUUUGGGGAGGUGUGGUUUGAUUGAUGAUCGUUCCCUUGAAGCAAUUGGGAAUAUGAACUCUAUUCGGAUUUUGAAAAUGGAAGCUUGUUCAUUAAUUACAGAUUGUGGAUUGGAGUUUUUGGCAACUGGGUCUUCUUCAAGGACCUUGAAAAAGUUGGUCCUUGCAGAAUGUGAUAGAAUCACGGAUUUUGGUGCGACCCUUUUGCAGCAAAUGCAUCGUUUGGAGGAGUUGAAUUUAGCUGAUUGUGGGCCCAAAUUGACAGAUUAUACAGGCUUAGCAAUUGCCUCGAUUCCAAGUCUUAAGAGAUUGAACAUUUCGUGGUUGAUCAAUGUAUCAGAUUUAGCAUUAAUUGCCAUAGCUGAAAACUGUAGGAAUUUGGUCGCACUAGAUUUAACUGGGUGUGAGAUGAUUACAGGAACUGGGGUCUCUGCUUUUGCUCAUCAUAAAUGUCUGGAAGAACUAGUGUUGGCUUCUUGUUAUAAUGUUUGUGGUUAUGCGGUGGAUAGGGUACUGAAGUGUGAGUCAUUAAGUUACAUUGUGCUUGAUAAACGAUUGAGAAUGAUUUUACCAGAUGGAAUACACCGGAAGAUUGGCUUAUCUUGUCACUGGAGAUGAUAGACGAGCCGGCCAAAAAUUUUAUGUGAGCUUGCUGCGGUUGCAUUAAAUUUUAGUGAAAAUUCAUUCUUCCCCAUGAUCCCUUCGUGCACCAUUCUUGUUUGUGUUAUGGACAAUGAAGAACUGUGCAAAGAGUCUGAAUUCAAGACAAGGACUGAAGCUGCAACAGCAAUAAAUAUUUUCUCUACAUGCAUUCAUCAAUCAUCACUUCCUGCUUAGUUUGGUCAAUCAUUUUCUUUUAUUCCUAACUAUUUUAGGAAAAGGAGUUGUUCUAGCCCAGGUCUCAAAAUGAUCUAUGAACAAUUUGGUUACCAAAAUUUACCUUGUGAUGUUUCCUAUGAUAAUUUUUCUAAAUAAAAGACAGUUAACAUGCAUGGACAUUAUGUCAAUUUCAGUUAUGAUUAACAAAAUUAUGAAUC